GCAGCCUGAACUCAACUCUCUUAUUUAGGCAGGAAUCAAAACUCUAUAAAAAAGCAACUUUACUAACUUUCAGGCGAGUGUAGCUGGUGCGUGUGCGAACAUUGUUCUGUGGCCAUCAAGAACUGGCUUCCAGACGAAAAUCCUUUCGAAAAGCACGCUCGAGAAAAUCCACAGUGCCCAUUUGUCGCCAGGAUAAAUACUCUAUUUUUCACCGAUUUCGAGGGCUACAAAGCUGCAGUUAAUUCGAUGGCGACAAAAUUGAGUUCUUCUGCCAAAUACGGCUUUGACGCAUUGCAGGAAUUAAACCUAAAUGGUAAGCCAAAAGAGAUUCCCAUGGAGUACGUGUGCAAAGUGUGCUACAACAAGGAGAUAGAAAUCGCUUUCCUCCCCUGCUCGCACGCCGCUGUUUGCACUCAGUGCGCAUUUCAACUGCAGCAGCACUGUGCUGUGUGCAAGGCAAAAUUGCAGUCUGUUUUGCGCAUUAAAUUGCCGCGCUAAUGCCGAUGAAGCGGGAUGAGUGGGAAAUUUCCUAAUCAUCAAAUUUAUGCCUCACUAACUCGUCUAUAUUUGAUUAUUGUAACUCUGUAAUUGCUCGGAAAAUGUGAUAUUCUUGAGCACAUUAUAUUUAUGGC